rnacentral:rRNA from 1 species
AAGUUUGUGACCAAGCUACUAAGGGCAGACGGUGGAUGCCUUGGCGUCGGCCGGCGAAGAAAGGCGUUGAAGACUGCGAUAAGCCUCGGGGAGCCGUCAAACAGGCUUUGAUCCGGGGAUUCCUGAAUGGGGAAACCCACAUGGGGUAAUGCCCAUGUACGGCAGGGUGAAUACAUAGCCCUGACCGGGCCAACGGGGCGAACUGAAACAUCUUAGUAGCCCCAGGAAGAGAAAACAAAAGUGAUUCUCCUAGUAGCGGCGAGCGAACGGGGAAGAGCCCAAACCGCGUUGGUGUAAGCUUGCGGGCGUUGCCAGCGCGGGGUCGAGGGACCCCACCAGAGGGAACCGCAAUUCCUUCGGGGAGUCAAAAAACAAAAGCAUAGCGGAAGGAACCUGGAAAGGACCGCCAUAGACGGUGAAAGCCCGGUACGCGAAAUGCUUUUGUCUCCCUGGGUGGGGCACCCAAGUACGGCGGGACACGUGGAACCCCGUCGGAAUUCGUGAGGACCAUCUCACAAGGCUAAAUACGUGCCGACGACCGAUAGUGAACUAGUACCGUGAGGGAAAGGUGAAAAGCACCCCGGUGAGGGGAGUGAAAUAGUACCUGAAACCGUCUGCUUACAAGCGGUGGGAGGGCGUUUGGAUUCCUUCGGGGGUCCAUGCCUGACCGCGUGCCUUUUGCAUAAUGAGUCAGCGAGUUACUCUUUGUGGCGAGGUUAAGCCGUUAGGUGUAGCCGUAGGGAAACCGAGUCUGAACAGGGCGCACUAGUCGCAGGGAGUAGACCCGAAGCCAGGUGAUCUAUCCAUGGCCAGGUUGAGGUCCCGGUAACACGGGAUGGAGGACCGAACCAAUGUGGGUUGAAAACCGCUUGGAUGAGCUGUGGAUAGGAGUGAAAGGCUAAUCAAACCUGGUGAUAGCUGGUUCUCCCCGAAAUAUAUUUAGGUAUAGCCUCGGGCAAUUAAGUGGCGGGGGUAGAGCACUGAAUGAGCUAGGGCUCCUAACAGAGUACCAAACUCAAUCAAACUCCGAAUACCGCCAACUUUUAUCCCGGGAGUCAGUCGGUGGGAGAUAAGUUCCAUCGUCGAAAGGGAAACAACCCAGAUCGCCAGCUAAGGUCCCAAAGUGUGUGCUAAGUGGUAAAGGAUGUGGAGACGCGCAUACAACCAGGAGGUUGGCUUAGAAGCAGCCAUCCUUUAAAGAAAGCGUAACAGCUCACUGGUCGAGUGACUCUGCGCCGAAAAUGUAACGGGGCUUAAGCACACCACCGAAGCUGCGGGAUGGUCUAGUACCAUCGGUAGGGGAGCAUUGGGUAAGGGGUUGAAGCCGGAUCGCGAGGACCGGUGGACCCAUCCCAAGAGCGUAUGCUGACAUGAGUAGCGAGAAAGCGGGUGAGAAACCCGCUCGCCGUAAGCCCAAGGUUUCCUGAGUAAAGCUAAUCUUCUCAGGGUUAGUCGGCCCCUAAGCCGAGGCCGAAAGGCGUAGGUGAUGGGAAACGGGUUAACAUUCCCGUACCAUCAACGUGCGUUUGAGCGAAGGGGGGACGCAGAAGGGUAGGUGAUCCGCCGGCUGGAUGUGGCGGUUCAAGCCUGUAGGCGGAGGAAAUAGGCAAAUCCGUUUCCUCGUUAACGCUGAGAGGUGAUGACGAGAGGUUUACCUCACAAAGUCACUGAGCCCAUGCUGCCAAGAAAAUCCUCUAGCGAGCACUGUUGAUGACCGUACCGCAAACCGACACAGGUAGGCAGGGAGAGUAUCCCAAGGCGCUUGAGAGAACUCUGGCUAAGGAACUCGGCAAAAUGACACCGUAACUUCGGGAGAAGGUGUGCCCUCUUUGGUGAAGGUAUUUACUAUCCGAGCUGAAGGGGGUCGCAGAGAAAUGGGGGUAGCGACUGUUUACUAAAAACACAGGACUCUGCUAAGUCGCAAGACGACGUAUAGGGUCUGACGCCUGCCCGGUGCCGGAAGGUUAAGGGGAGAGGUCAUUCAGGUUCGCCUGGAGAAGCUUUGAACCGAAGCCCCGGUAAACGGCGGCCGUAACUAUAACGGUCCUAAGGUAGCGAAAUUCCUUGUCGGGUAAGUUCCGACCUGCACGAAUGGCGUAAC